GGGGGCGUAGCUCAGUUGGGAGAGCGCUUGAAUGGCAUUCAAGAGGUCAUGGGUUCGACUCCCACCGUCUCCA
rnacentral:tRNA from 2 species